GGAGGUCCGAACCCACACCUGUUGAAAAAGGUCGGGAUGAGUUGUGCCUAGGGGUGAAAGGCCAAUCAAACUCGGAGAUAGCUGGUUCUCUGCGAAAUCUAUUUAGGUAGAGCGUCAUCCGAAUACCCCGGGGGGUAGAGCACUGGAUGGGUAAUGGGGCCCCACAGGCUUACUGAUCCUAACCAAACUCCGAAUACCCGGGAGUACUAGAUGGCAGACACACUGCGGAUGCUAACGUCCGUAGUGGAGAGGGAAACAACCCUGACCUCCGGCUAAGGCCCCUAAUUCAUGGCUAAGUGGGAAAGCAGGUGGGAUGUCCAAAACAACCAGGAGGUUGGCUUAGAAGCAGCCAUCCUUUAAAGAUAGCGUAACAGCUCACUGGUCUAAAUAAGACGUCCUGCGGCGAAGAUGUAACGGGGCUCAAGCCAUGAGCCGAAGCCGAGGAUGCACAUAGUGCAUGGUAGCAGAGCGUAGUGUGACAUAGAACAGCUCCUCCUUAACGCCUUCGGGCGUAUUGGAGGAACAGUUCUUUCGAUGAAGCGGGCGCGUGAGCGAUCCCGUGGAGAGAUCACUAGCGAGAAUGAUGACAUGAGUAGCGACAAAGAGUGUGAGAGACACUCUCGCCGAAAGUCCAAGGGUUCCUGCUUAAAGCUAAUCUGAGCAGGGUAAGCCGGCCCCUAAGCCGAGGCCGAAAGGCGUAGGCGAUGGGAACCAGGUUAAUAUUCCUGGGCCAGGAGGAUGUGACGGAUUGCGAAGGUAGUUUGCUCUUAUCGGAUUGAGCAGGCUGCUGAGCAGUCCCUGGAAAUAGCCCUCCAUCAGACCGUACCCUAAACCGACACAGGUGG
rnacentral:rRNA from 1 species